rnacentral:lncRNA from 1 species
GUUCUUCUCAGCUUGGAAAGAUAUUCUUUGGACAGCUUUUUUCACGGUCACGUACACUGUGGCUUCAUAUGUUGGCCCAUAUCUCAUUGACACUUUUGUUCAGUACCUGAAUGGGCAGCGGGAGUUUAAAAAUGAGGGGUAUCUUCUGGUUAUUGCUUUCUUUGUUGCAAAGCUAGUAGAGUGCUUAACGCAGAGGCUCUGGUUUUUCAAGUUGCAGCAAGUAGGAAUUAGGCUGAGAGCAGUACUGGUAGCAAUGAUUUAUAACAAGGGUUUAACCCUUUCGUGCCAUUCAAAGCAGAGCCACACCAGUGGGGAGAUCAUCAAUUUCAUGACUGUCGAUGCGGAGAGGGUGGGUGAGUUUAGUUGGUACAUGCAUGAUCCAUGGAUGGUAGCUUUGCAAGUUGCUUUGGCCUUGGUGAUCUUGUAUAAAAACCUUGGAUUAGCAUCCAUUGCAGCUUUUGUUGCAACAGUGUUUGUUAUGUUGGCAAAUAUUCCUCUGGGAAAAAUGCUAGAGAAGUUUCAGGACAAGUUGAUGGAAUCUAAAGAUAAAAGGAUGAAGGCAACAUCAGAAAUUUUAAGAAAUAUGAGAAUUCUCAAACUUCAAGGGUGGGAAAUGAAGUUUUUGUCAAAAAUUAUUGAACUCAGGAAUGUUGAGGAAGGAUGGUUAAAAAGAUUUGUUUAUACAAAUGCAAUGACUAGUUUUCUUUUCUGGGUUGCACCAUCGUUUGUGUCAGUAGCCACUUUUGGUGCUUGUAUUUUUUUAGGAGUUCCACUUGAGUCAGGGAAGAUCCUAUCUGCACUAGCAACAUUCAGGGUUCUUCAAGAGCCAAUCUACAAUCUUCCUGACACAAUUUCAAUGAUAGCUCAGACAAAGGUGUCUCUUGAUAGAAUUGCUUCCUUCCUCCGCCUUGAUGACUUGCAGCCUGAUGUUAUAGAGAAGCUUCCAAGAGGUAGUUCUGAUACUGCAAUUGAGAUCAUUGAUGGGAAUUUCGCUUGGGAUUUCUCUUCUUCUACUGCAACGUUAGAAGAUAUAAAUUUGAAAGUUUGCCAUGGUAUGAGGGUCGCUGUUUGUGGUACAGUUGGUUCUGGUAAGUCGAGUUUGCUUUCCUGUAUUUUAGGGGAAUUACCCAAGAUAUCUGGAACUCUUAAAUUGUGUGGUACAAAGGCCUAUGUUGCUCAGUCGCCUUGGAUACAAAGUGGCAAGAUUGAAGAAAACAUAUUGUUUGGCAAGGAGAUGGAUAGGGAGAGGUAUGACAGAGUGCUUGAAGCUUGUACCCUCAAGAAAGAUCUUGAAAUCCUCUCAUUUGGUGAUCAGACCGUUAUAGGUGAGAGGGGAAUCAAUUUGAGCGGUGGGCAGAAGCAAAGAGUACAGAUUGCACGUGCUUUAUAUCAAGAUGCUGAUAUCUAUCUCUUUGAUGAUCCAUUCAGCGCUGUGGAUGCUCACACAGGAUCUCAUUUAUUUAAGGUAACAUCUUUUCUUCUCUCAUACUAUUGCAUGUAGUUUAAAAGUUACUUUUAAUCUAUGCAGAAAGCUAUGCUGCUCUAUGUACAGUAAUUAAUUGAACUACUAACAUUUGCAAUUUUGUCAGCUGCUUAUUUGAGCUUUCUUCUUCAGUUGGUGCUUUGCCUGAGUAAUUGUUUAAUCUUUGAAUGAUAGGAAGUUUUACUAGGCAGUUUGAGUUCAAAAACAGUGAUUUAUGUCACUCAUCAAGUUGAGUUUUUACCAGCUGCUGAUCUGAUCUUGGUAAGCUAUUUACGUUUUCAGUGAUUUUCCUCCUAUGCCUUGGAGGGUAGGCAAUAAUAUAAUUUCUGGGUUAAAAUUUUGCAUUUUUGUUAGGUCAUGAAAGAUGGCAGGAUUACACAAGCUGGAAAGUUUAACGACAUUCUCAAUUCAGGAACUGAUUUUAUGGAACUUGUGGGUGCACAUAAGAAAGCUUUGUCAGCCCUUGAUACUGUUGAUGCAGGAUCUGUUUCUGAAAAAAAUAUCAGUGAAGGAGAUGGUACCAUGGGAUGUGCUAAUGGGGAAGUGCAGAAAGAAGAAAACCAAAAUAAUGAGAGUGGUAAAGUAGAUGAUGUAGGGCCAAAAGGUCAGCUUGUUCAAGAAGAAGAGCGAGAAAAAGGAAAAGUUGGGUUUUCAGUCUACUGGAAGUAUAUCACAACAGCAUAUGGAGGAGCUCUUGUGCCUUUAAUAUUGCUGGCGCAGAUUCUCUUUCAGCUUUUUCAAAUUGGUAGCAAUUAUUGGAUGGCUUGGGCAUCUCCUGUGUCUGCAGAUGUCAAACCUCCUGUUCGGAGCUUUACACUAAUAAUUGUCUAUUUAGCUUUGGCCGUUGCUAGUGCCUUUUCUGUCCUUGCCAGAGCCAUGCUUCUUAAUACAGCUGGAUACAAAACAGCCACUCUUUUCUUCAAAAAGAUGCAUUCAUGCAUUUUCCGUGCUCCUAUGUCAUUCUUUGAUUCCACACCAAGCGGAAGAAUCCUAAACAGAGUUAGUAUCUAAUGUUUUCUUGUGUGAAUGUCAAACAUUCCAUUUAUCUUAUUUUUUUGGCAUUCCUCCCUUGUUUCUGAAGGAUUCUAUUAUUUUCCUGCCUCUUUUAGGCUUCUACAGAUCAAAGUGCAGUGGAUAUGAGCAUUCCGUAUCAAGUUGGUGCAUUCGCCUUUUCAGUUAUCCAGCUCCUUGGUAUCAUUGCAGUCAUGUCUCAAGUUGCUUGGCAGAUCUUUAUCAUUUUUAUCCCUGUGGUUGCUACCUGUAUUUGGUACCAGGUAAUUCUUGUCCCCUCAUAUAAUAUGUUGUCUGUCAAUUUGUGGUUAUAGAAUGUAUGACCUCAUAGACUUGCAAUAUAUAUUGUAAAUCUCAAAGUCGUUCGAGAAAACAUAAAACCUUGCAUAAUACUUGGACAUAGGAAUUCUCAUAAACUUGUAAUUUUUCAGCAAUAUUACAUAUCUUCUGCACGAGAACUUGCACGAUUGGUUGGAGUAUGCAAAGCUCCAGUGAUACAGCAUUUUGCUGAAACAAUUUUAGGAGCAACAACUAUCAGGAGCUUUGAUCAAGAAUCAAGAUUCCAAGAGGCAAACAUGAUACUAAUGGAUGCAUUUUCUCGUCCAAAAUUUCAUGUUGCUGGUGCAAUGGAAUGGCUGUGCUUCCGCCUGGACAUGUUGUCUUCCAUUACUUUUGCCUUCUCUUUGUUCUUUUUGAUUUCUAUACCAGAGGGAAUUAUUGAUCCUGGUAAGUGAUUGUAGAUUGGAAUCUUUAUUGACUACCAUGUCAUUGUAGAUAACAGAUGUUAAAGGAGAAUGACUGAAAGUGUUUUCGUGUUUUCUUUUGCUUAGCCAUUGCGGGUUUAGCUGUGACGUAUGGACUCAAUCUAAAUAUAUUGCAAGCUUGGGUAGUAUGGAAUAUUUGCAAUAUGGAGAAUAAAAUUAUAUCUGUUGAGAGACUGCUUCAGUACAGUAGUAUUCCUAGUGAGCCUGCCCUUGUGAUAGAAACUAACCGUCCGGACCGUUCUUGGCCAUCUCAUGGAGAAGUUAAUAUUCAUGAUCUGCAGGUAAUGCAGUUAUGCAGUGUUUAUGACUCUAAGUUGUUAUGUGUUGUUUUUGAAAUAAAUGAUGAUGUUCGAUGUAGGUGCGGUAUGCUCCACACAUGCCACUCGUCUUGCGAGGUAUGACAUGCACAUUACCAGGAGGGUUGAAAACUGGCAUUGUAGGGAGAACAGGGAGUGGUAAAACAACUCUCAUACAAACACUUUUCCGCAUAGUUGAACCUGCAGCAGGUCAGAUUAUAAUUGAUGGCGUUAAUAUCUCAUCAAUUGGACUGCAUGAUUUGCGGUCAAGACUCAGCAUCAUCCCUCAGGAUCCUACCAUGUUUGAAGGGACUAUACGGAGUAAUUUGGAUCCUCUUGAAGAGCACUCAGACGAACAGAUUUGGGAGGUGGGUUCAUUUCAUUUUGAUUACGAGAGAAAAGCUUUUCUGGUCUGUACCAUUUAUUUUCGAAUAAAAUGCUGUGUUUAUGAUUGGUAUUUGAAGUGUGAUAUGUAUUGAUGUAUGUUUUGAUUUUUUAAGGCAGUGGAUAAGUGCCAACUUGGGGAUGGAGUUAGAAAGAAGGAAGGCGGGCUAGAUUCUUCAGGUCUGAUCUUCUAUCAUAUAACAUACAAGUCGGAUGUCAUGCAAGUUGUUUAAAAUCUACUACUAAAUUCAACUGUUUAAAGAAAUGUUGAAGUAUUAUAACAUUGCUUCCGCAGUUACCGAGAAUGGAGAGAAUUGGAGCAUGGGACAGAGGCAGCUGGUCUGUCUCGGGCGUGUGCUGCUCAAGAAAAGUAAGAUCCUAGUGCUUGAUGAAGCUACGGCAUCAGUUGAUACAGCUACCGAUAAUCUGAUUCAGACAACCUUAAGGGAGCACUUUUCUGACUGUACAGUCAUAACAAUUGCACACCGGAUCACUUCUGUUCUUGACAGUGAUCUGGUUCUGCUUCUAAGCCACGGUUAGCACGGUUGUGUUAUCUAUCAUUUGCUUGUAGGAUCCUUUGAACUUCAUUUCGUUUAAAACUAUGUUUAACUGUCGCAGGACUUGUCGAAGAAUACGAUUCUCCCGCUAGAUUGCUGGAAAACAAGUCUUCAGCUUUCGCACAGCUUGUAGCCGAGUAUACUGUGAGAUCAAAUUCAAGCCUGGAGAAGUUCGACUGAAUUAGAUGAUCACGAAAAAUAUAUGUUUGGUACUCAUUGGGAAUGUUUUGUACAAGACAAGCCUAGUAGUGUUCUUGGCUUCAAUAAACACUAGUUGUAUAUUUUCCUUUUCUCUCUUCUAUCAGUCUGCCAUUAUUAAGUUACAAAGAAUUUUUAAGACAUAUGUUCGGGCAAUUAGACGUUAACAAAAUUAAUGUAAAAAAAUUGUCAAAAACACGUGCGAAGAAAAAAAGUUUAUUAAUAUAAAGUCAACAAUUGGGUGGUGGGCCUUCACACGUCCAUUAAUGGGGCCCAUUUCAAAAAGAGAGUGUCCAGAUGAGUAUCCCCCAAGUUUUCGUUGUGAGCAAUGAGCAUACAAGUCGAAGCAAAACUGUGGGGUUUCAGUACGGCGCCGUUUUAAUUGUCUCUUUCCGGUUUUUGGGCAGACGGGCUGGAUUUGAGUCUUCGGUUUGGUUCACCGCCAGGUGUCAAUACAAUGACGGUUGGAAAUUCCAACGGUUUUUUGUUAGAGUUUCCCGGGUUUUUUUUUGUUCCUACUAAUUUACUAUUUUGUGGUUUGAGAAAUAUUUUAAAAUUGUUUUAAAUUUAUUUAUAAUAAAUAAAAAAGACCUUUGAUACCCACAAUUAUUAUUGUUUUGAGUUAUUUUCAAAUUAACCAACGAAAAUAAUUUUUGCUAAAAAGGGUCAUUAAUAUUUUUUAAUGAGUAAAAAGGGUCAUUAGGUUUAAAAUAAUAAUAAAAGAAUAUUUUUUUAUUUAUUUCUAAAAAUUAUUAAAAUAAUUAAAACUUAGCAACUUUUAACAGGUUCAUAGGAUCAGAUUAUGAUAAUCUUCAUGGAUAAAUGAAAGAAAAAUUAAUUCUUGAAUUAAAAAACAAAGGUUUGUUUUUUUCUUUGUUGAUAAUGCAAAAGUUCUGGUAAAAAUUUCAUUGCAAAAGAGGAGUUUUUUUGGGUUAAUUUCUAUUUCCCUCACUACAGAAUCACUCUCACUCUCUAUAUCUCUUCAGCUGUGUGUCUCUUAUGUUUUGUCUCUCUCUCUCUUUCAAAGAUCAAAACUUUCUCGGAAAGCCUCCAAGUUUUUUGUUUUUGGUCUCUCUUUUGAGGCUUAAGCCUCCCUUCCCUUUGCUCUCAUGCCGUCUCUCAAGUCUUGGUCUCCACGCAUAUCCCUUCCCCAAGUAAUCUUCCUUUGACUCUCUUCUUUUGUGUCCCUGUCUUGACUGUAACACUCCUUUAAGUCUCGUUUAUAUAUAAACUCAAAAACAAGCAAAAGUAUCUUCCAACAACACUGUAGUCCAAAAUUUUUCUUGAGUAAAAAGUCCAUAAAGAAUGAAACUUUUUGCUUCAGAAUCAUCUUUGCUAAUGAGUUCAGCUUCUAGUUUUCAUUUUCUCCUAAAACCCAUGUUUCUUCAUGGGCUUUCUGCUUCAUUGCACCUACUUUUAUUGCUUUUCUUGCUAGUCUUAUGGUUUGUGGACAGAGUUAAAGAAGCUGGCAGGGAAGGAUCGAAGGAAAGGAUAAGGCAAAGGAAGGUUUUAUGGUAUAAGCAAACUUUAGCUUGUUGUUUUAUUGUUUCAGCUUUCAACACUGUCUUGUGUUUGUUAAGUUAUUUUUAUUGGUAUAGAAAUGGUUGGUCUGAGGAUAAGUUAGUGACUCUUUCUGAUUAUGUGGUAAAAACACUUGCUUGGGGUGCAACGUGUGUUUAUUUGCAUUAUCAGUUCUCCCAUUCUGGUGAACAAAAGAAGUUCCCAUUUUUAUUGAGAAUUUGGUGGGGUUUUUAUUUUUCCAUUUCUUGUUAUUGUCUUGUUAUAGACGUUGUUCGUUACAAAGAACAUGUUUCUUUCCCAAGUCAGUAUUUAGUAUCCGAUGUUUUUUCUGUUAUUACUGGUUUGUUCCUAUGUAUUGUGGGGUUUUUUGGAGGAACUGAAGGUGAAGAUACCCUCCUUGAGGAGCCCCUUUUGAAUGGAGAUUCUAGUGUAGGUAAUGGUGUAGAGUUGAGUAAGAAAAAAAGAGGUGAUACUGUAACCCCAUAUUCAAAUGCUGGUAUUUUCAGCAUUCUUACAUUUUCUUGGAUGGGGCCUCUUAUUGCUGCUGGCAGUAAAAAACCUUUAGACCUUGAGGAUGUUCCUCAGCUAGAUAGCAGUGAUAGUGUUGUUGGCGCUUUUCCAAAUUUUAGAAACAGGCUCGAGUCAGCUGACAGUGAGGGGAGUGGAGUUACCGCGUUUAAGCUGGUGAAGGCACUGUUCUUCUCAGCUUGGAAAGAUAUUCUUUGGACAGCUUUGUUAGCGUUUAUGUACACUGUGGCUUCAUAUGUUGGCCCAUAUCUCAUUGACACUUUUGUUCAGUACCUGAAUGGGCAGCGGGAGUUUAAAAAUGAGGGGUAUCUUCUGGUUAUGGCUUUCUUUGUUGCAAAGCUAGUAGAGUGCUUAUCUCAGAGGCGCUGGUAUUUUAAGUUGCAGCAAGUAGGAAUUAGGCUGAG